GAUGAACGCUGGCGGCGUGCCUAAUACAUGCAAGUUGAGCGCUGAAGGUUGGUACUUGUACCGACUGGAUGAGCAGCGAACGGGUGAGUAACGCGUGGGGAAUCUGCCUUUGAGCGGGGGACAACAUUUGGAAACGAAUGCUAAUACCGCAUAAAAGCUUUAAACACAAGUUUUAAGUUUGAAAGAUGCAAUUGCAUCACUCAAAGAUGAUCCCGCGUUGUAUUAGCUAGUUGGUGAGGUAAAGGCUCACCAAGGCGAUGAUACAUAGCCGACCUGAGAGGGUGAUCGGGCACAUUGGGACUGAAACACGGCCCAAACUCCUACGGGAGGCAGCAGUAGGGAAUCUUCGGCAAUGGACGAAAGUCUGACCGAGCAACGCCGCGUGAGUGAAGAAGGUUUUCGGAUCGUAAAACUCUGUUGGUAGAGAAGAACGUUGGUGAGAGUGGAAAGCUCAUCAAGUGACGGUAACUACCCAGAAAGGGACGGCUAACUACGUGCCAGCCGCCGCGGUAA
rnacentral:rRNA from 1 species